CUUUCCAUAAAAAAAUAAAAAUAAAUGACUCUUUCCUCCCAGCAGAUGCAAGCCAUCCAACAGAUUCCAGUCCCUGUGACUAAAAACUGGGUGGAAAAAUUUCUAGGAGCCAUAGGACUGACGCAGAGUUUGGGACCCUGGCAGAGGCCUGUUGCCUAUCUUUCCAAGAGACUUGAUUAUGUGGCAGCCAGAUGGCCACCUUGUCUGUGGGUGUUUUCCUCGGUAGUCAUCCUGAUAGAGGAGACACAAAAACUGACUUGUGGACCAAAACUCUUAUUUUGUCUCCUCCUAUUCGCUGGAGACUCUCAUCAAAGCUCCGCCGGACCAAUGGCUGCCCAACUCCCAAGUCAUGCAUUAUCAAGCAUUACUUCUAGAUCUGACUACCAUCAGUUUCAAGGGGACAGCGGCUUCAAACCCUGCCACUCUGCUGCCUGAUGAUGCCCCUCCUUGCCCUUCCACAUCUGUAUUGGGGACCAGACUUGACAGAUGAGCCACUAUUCAGAGUUCCUUUGUAUUUCUCCGAUGGAAGCAAUUACAUUUAUCCAGCCCACUGAGAGAACAAACACCCUGCUGUAGAGCCUGGGUCACCUGUGCUCAUCAAGAGGCUUCACCAUGGAUCUCUUGAGCCAUUGAAAAGGUCCCUACAUUGUAGUCCUCAGCACUCCAACUGCUAUCAAAGUAGCCAGAAAGCCUGCCUCGAUGCAUCAUUCCCACUUCAAGCAGGUCCUGGCUUCCAAAGGCGAUCAACCUAGAGAUAAGUGGACUGUCAUUCCCUCCAAGGACUCUUUAAAGCUCAAGACUGCCAAAUGUAACUAAUAAUCUUGUGUUCUCCCUUAUAGAAACCCCAAGGAAACCUCUAUCUGGCUUUUUAAAAAAUUGUUAAUUAUGUGACAAAACAGUGAAUUUAAAUGUUGGUUUUCUUUCUCCUUUUGGUUAACAGCUUUAAUAAUGACAGCUGCAAGAAAUUUGUUAAUCUUCCUAUUGGGCCUUGUAUUAUACUCAGAUUGGAAAAGUAUGUCAAAGAUCAGGUUCAAACUAUACAGCUUACGAUUUUAAAGAUGCAAGGUUAUAAACAGAUACUUAUGUCUGAAAACCUCAUGAGCCAAUGAUUUGGUGCACUGACUAAAAUCAGUGGGGAAUGCUGUACACUAGGAAAAAGAGCUCUGUUACGUUUGUAUUAUGCCAAAGUACCUGUAACGCCGCCUACUGUUUUGUAUGCAUUUUCCCCCAUCUGGGUGACCUAACUGAUAUGUUAAUCAAUGCUCCCGUCUGUAAAAAAUUGUAAAUCCCGGGGAACCUAACCUAAUUGAUAUGUUAAACAUCGUUGCCCUCUACUAAUAACAGAUGUGGUGCUAAAAUCAGCUGACAAAGAAUUAACUAAUGCUAGACUACUCUGUCCUCUGCUAAGGAAAACAUUUCCUUAGCAGAUUUCCUGAUCCACCCCCAUAACCCCUUUACUUUGUAAACUCUGCUCUCUACAAGAGGCUAGAAAGCUUUAAGGAGGACACACAGCUUUUGCAAAUUCCAACUGCACUGUGUUACAGGGCCCAGGAUAAAAUAAAUCAGCGCUGCUUUUUGAAAAUAAAAACAUGUCUUGCCCAUUUUUGAACUUGAGUUUAGGCUUUGGGGGGCUUGUUUGUGGAUUACAAGAUUUAAUGGCAUAUUUUUAUUAUUUUAUUCUUUCACAUGUUAUAUUAGUUGCUAAAGUUACUGGUAUUCCUUGCUUAACUAUAUUUAGACAAUAGCACCACAGAUAAUAAUAGAACACCCUGAAUAGUCUUUAAUAUAAAUUUCUAUUAAAUGGUUUUCUUAAAUGAAAUCUAGUUCAGACUUAGAAAACAUACAUGCCUGCAAUAAAACAUGGGACUCGUUCCACCAUUUAAGAAGCACUAGGCUGGUGGCCAUGCUUCCAGAUUUGGAGCACAGGUUUCACUGAGACAGACUGGCUCUGCUCCUCCUUUAUACUCCAGAGGAAUGUCAAGCCUGUUCUGUUUCCUUUGUUUCACUUUAUCUCUUACUCUCUUGCCACUUUACAUUUUCCUAAUAAAGGCAUAUAAAAGUGGGAAAAACUCUAGAUUAUUCCAACCUUUUCCUUUUGAGUUAAGCCCAUAGAAAAUGAGCAUUUGCUAAUGCCAAGAACAGGGAAGUCAUCUUAGAUGAGGGACACAUACUCCAUCUCUGGGUCAGAUGAGACAUCAGAAUUGUGCCCAUUCAGGAGAAUACACAUGAAAGCUGUGUCCCAGCUCAGUGUUCUGGGCAAAUCUCCUUUGGAAAUUAAACCUGAGACACAGUGGGGAGAACCAGUUUCCAUGUGGCAAUGGAAGCAGAUAUCCUUAAAAGCAGCACACAUAGGGGACGUAAACCUAUUUAGAAUAAGGAGGCUUUCCAACCUCUCAAAUUAUGGACUUAAAAACCUUUAUUAUAAAUUGAUAAAUGUGUAGGUAAUGAUCUUGCAGUCUGUUAAUUAUCGCUUAUAGAAUUUUGACACACAGUGGUCACUGUGCCAGCUAAUCAUCCUUACAGCAACUGCCACCCUCAAAAUCAGAGGCUAGCUUUCCCCAGCAUCUGUUAGGUGAAUCCCCAUUGAAGCCAGUGGCCAAUGGAUUCAACAGAAUGUUGACCAGACAGGCAGCUGGAUUCCUUUUUGGAGACUGAUUUCUGGUUAUCUGAGGCAAUAGAAACUGAGAACUGAGGGUUCCUGGCCAGAGCAACACCCUGGUUGGCACCCAACAUUUCCUCAAAGGACAUUUGCUCAUGACCACUUAAAAUCUCCCCUUUUCUAUUAUCCUUAUUUCUCUGCUAGUAGACUAAAAACAUUCUAAACUUUUCAAGAGAUCUUUAGAUCACUUAGACUACCCAUCCCUUCAGAGAUUAUACUGAGGUAGCUUGCAAUGAUUGCUUACAUUCCAUAGCAGCUAGUAGGGAAAUGAUUUACCUAUGUUAAUUAAAACUAAAUAGACUUGAACAAUUAUUUCUAAGAUGACAAUAUGUAAUCUAUUAACUAGUGAUUUCUAUUUUUUUGAAAUUCUGUAUUACUUGUACUCUUUUUCUGUUUUUUCUUUUCUCUUUAAAUAAAAGUUUUUUCUUUUGUCUUUAAAUAAAAUUUUUUAAAAAGUAGGACUUCUGGGACAACAUGGUGGACAGAUAGCAGAUACUACGGAGGCUCUCUGAAAGGCUUGGUUCAGAAGUCAGGAAUGGUGCGGACUAAGGAGACAUAAGCCGGUAGAGAUAUGCUCUGCUGACUCAGGAACGUACUGGGCUGAGAGAAACCAACUUGGAAUGCAGUCCUGGUGCUAAAACAGGAACAGAAAAGCCUCGGUGUGGAGUCUAGACCCCGCGCCAAAGGAAGCCAUGAUUUGGGUUUCCUGGCGCGCUGUGGCUGGCUGCCUCUACAUCGGCUCGGCAAGGAGAGAGACGCUCAGAAGCUCUGAGAACGGGAGUCUGUGAACGGAGUCGAAAACAGGAUGGCCAGGGAGGCGUACACUGACUUGUGGUGAGGUGAGUGAGAGAAACUGACACUCUACCACAGUUUGACUCCAGUGGAGGACUUUCUGGGCCCGGGCAGUCCUGCGGGAGCAGGGCGCGGUGGCGACUCCAGCCACACAUUCCCCUCUCGGACGGGAUUGGUGAAAAGUGCCUGGCCUGCGUGACGCUGCUGGUGGACUAGAUAGGCUGGCCCAACCCAGAUCCCAGAGCCUGACGGUGGCCCGGAGGGGCGACUCCCACGUAGGCUGCCUAGUCCGUAACUCCCUGGUGCGCUGCGGUGGGCGGGAACACCUAGUCAGCGCAAUUCCAUCAGGCUGUGGCUGACAGGGAGGGAAGCUGGGCCUCCUGUGUAAACUUGCAUAUAUAAGGAACAGAGAAUAUGGGAAAAGGCAGCAACAAGAAAGGCUCCUUGGCCCCCAAUUCUGAGAAACAGGCAAUAGCGGACACCGCACCAAUAGACAUAAAGCGCCAUAUAGAGAGCCUCAUAGACCAAUUCAGGAAUGAAGUUAUCAAUGACCUGAAGCUAGAAGUAUGCAGAAUAGUUAGAGAAAUGCUAAGCACCACCCUGGAAAAAACAGAUGGUGGAAUGGAAGAACAGAAAAAGAGGGGAGAAUUGCUUGAUGGAGAAAACAGAGCAUAGAGUAUGUGAAGCAGGUUCAAAGGGACUAUCAAGAAACUAAGAAGUCUAUCCAAGACUGGCAUAACAGCUUGAAGGAAACUAAGGACAGACUAUCUGAGGGCAUGCUUGUAAUAUGAGAGAAUGAAAUGAAAAACUUCUUAAAAAUAACAAAGAAACAAACAGCAAUAAUACAAAGACAAGAAGACGAUAAGAGGAUCCAUAACUUAAGGAUUAAGAACAUAAAAGAAGAAGUAGGGACACAAACAAGUGAACUACAAAAGCUACUCACAGAAAUAAUCCAGGAGAAUUUUCCUAAUUUAGCAAAAGGUAAAGAUACUCAGAUGUAUGAGGCAUACAGGACCCCAGCUACCUACAACCCAAACAGAGCAACACCCAGGCAUAUAAUAAAAAUUCCAGAAAUUCAAUACAAGAACAGAAUAUUAAAACCUGUCAGAGACAAGAAACAGACCACUUACAAGGGAACACCCAUCAGAAUUACAGCACAUUUCUCUGCACAAACCAUCAAAUCAUGAAGAGCGUGGGGGGAAACAAUUCAAACUUUGAAAGAUAAUAAUCUCCAGCCAAGAUUGAGAUAUCCUGCACAACUGUCCCUGGAAAUUGAUGGAAAAACAAGGUGCUUCCAGGAUAAAGAGGAACUGGGGGAAUUUGCAACCACCAAUUCAACUCUAUAGAAAGUAUUGCAGGAUAUUCUAAAAAAAAAAAAAUACAAAGAACCCAGAAAUAGUGGUGGGGAGGCCACAACGAAUGGAGCAGAGAACAAAAUGAAGAAGAAAAACUGACAGCUACUGACAGAAAAAGAGCUCAACAGAAAUGAGACAGAGAAGAUUGGAUGAUAGGAACAGCUAUUUUGGAGAAAAUGACAUCUUAAUAGGUAAUACUGAUUUAGUAUCAUCUUGUUUUGAAGUCUCAUCUAGCUUUUGUUCUUCUGUCUCCAAUGGUCUAAAUACGUUGUAUCUUAUUGGAGUUUAUUAUGUACGAUAGUAUAAGUAAAAACCUUUUAAAGACAAGGAGAUUAUACAGAAACCAUUGUUCAUUUUCUGUUAGUCGAUUCUAAAUAUUCUGUAAUGCUGUCAUUCUCUUAAAUGGUUUUACAUUUUUUUUUUUGACUUUUUCCUUUUUAUCGGUACCAGGGAUCAAACUCACGACUGCCUGCUUACAAGGCAGGUGCUUAUGCCGCUGAGCUAAAUCCCCAGCCCCGGUUUUACAUUGUUUUGAUAAACUUAAUGCUACAGUAUACGAAGUUGUACUCAAGGACUUAAAGGAAAGAUUCAAUAUGGUAGUUACUUUUGGGUUGGAAUUAUCUGGUGGUGAAACACUAUUCUGCUUAAAUGUUUAUGUUUUGAUCUGCGCUGUUUCGCUGUUAUGCCCUUUUUUAUCCCAAUCUCCACUCCAUUAUUUACUCUUUUAUUUUUAUCCAUUUAAUUAAAGGGAAAAAAUAGCAGGAUAUAUUAUAGUAACCCACUUUGACUUUCUAUUAUCUCGAUUUGAAGCCUUGUAUUACUCUCACCAUCUUGUUUUUGACUGAUGUUCCCCUAUUCUGUUUUGCUGGAUAGUAUCAGGUUCGAAAGUUUAGGCAUCAGCUGUGAAGAUAAUGAGAUUCAUUAUGACGCCCAUUCUCGUUGACUUUUAUCUACUUUUGAAGACCUACAAAGUCUCCAAUGGUUUGCUUUUGUCGGUUUUGUUCUUUACUGUUUUGUUCAAUUGUAUUAUAACUAAUGAUAUAGGCAAUUCAAUUAGAGAUAGCUGGAGGCAUUAUGGUAACCACUGUUGAUCACCGUGUAUUAUGUUUUUACAUUAUCUAUUAUGUCCACCCUUUUGACUUGACCGAUUCUGUUCUGUUAUGUCACAUUUGGUUUUACUCUCUUCCAAAAAAGCAAUAAGAACCGUGGGAGCAAUGAAACCCAAAAUGUGUAAUAGUCAUUGUACAAAAGAGAGGAAAAGAAAGUGCUCUAAACUAUAUAACUGCAUGUAUAUUUAAGUGUAUAAGUUAGAAAAUGAUAUCACAGAGUUUUAAAUCAUUGAACAGAACUGUUUGCAGUAUCAUUGUUGGAAUGUCCACUCUACAAGCUUUAAUUUUGUGACUUGAACAAUUAUUUCUAAGAUGGCAAUAUGUAAUCCAUUAACUAGUGAUUUCCUACUGUUCAUUUUUUUCUGUAAAUCUGUAUAACUUGUACCCUUUCACUGUUUUUUUCUCUUUUCUCCUUAAAUAAAAUUUUAAAAAAAAGUAACUAGGAUUUUCUGUGUGACUAGAAGACUGAUGUGCCUCUUUCUAACUUAAAAUGUGACUGCUAGAUGAUAAUUUAUAAAUUUAACCUGUGAGCUUCAAAGAUACAGAAAUUUAAAUGAAGUAUAGCCUUGUCCUGUUACUAAGAAAAGUUACCUAGAUAAUUAAGUGAGAGACAAAUGUCUGGAGACUCUUUUGCCCAGAUUAAGGAGUAAUGCUCCUCCAGUCAGUUGUUCUAUCUAUCUCUAGAGGAGAGUUACUCUAAAAAACCUGAAAAGUACUCUACCACCAAUUCACCUUUUAAUGUAUGCUCCCUUAUAAUACAUGUUUACAAAGUCAUGCUUCCUUCGCUAAACAUUCUUUAUGGAAACAAAGCUCAUGAGCUAUCUGGGAAUAUAGGAUUGUGUGCCAGUUCCAGGGUGGAUAGGCUGACAGAAACUAUGGUCCAUUCUCUCCAGAAGGCAUUCACCUGCCCUGGAGCAGUUUCAACCCAAGAGACACGUGGGGAACAUCUAUCAAACAGGGAAAAAAAAGGACACCUUAUUUUAACUCAUUUUAUGUAUAACUAGAUAGCUCAAUAUCUCUCAUAGCUCAUCAAAUGGUCCUUAGUUCAAUGCCUGGGUACAGAAAAGGUUUCAUACUUAUGCCUUGCUUUUACAUUAUAGACAUGGACAACAAAAUGUCAAAGCCCAUUCUCCUUUGGAACACAUUCUUAGGCACUAGAUGUUCGAGCCUUCCAUGUUGAAAAAGAUCCAAUUGGUAUUUCUCUGCAUGAGUGUGUGGCCUACCUACCCCCAAGAGCCUUAGUGGAAUACAGAGCGACACAGUGCAGUUGGAGUUUGCAAAAGCUGUGUUCCCACUGGAUCACAAACAGUCCCUAUGCAAGACUCUUACUGGGCCCACAACCAGAGAAACAGAUGCCUUAAAAAAAGACAUCACCUCAUUGGCUAAAUUCCAGCAAACUCUUCAAGAGCUUACAGAAGCUCAGCCUACAGAGAAAGGAAAACCUAUCUUCCACCCUGGAGAUUUAGUGCUGGUAAAAUCCCCUCCCUCAUCAGCCAUUGGGAAGGACCUUACACUGUGAUCCUGUCGACUUCUUCCAUGCUGAAGACAAGAGGCCUGGACACUCGGAUGCAUCACACCUGACACAAACCCUGGAAACCUGAGACUAUCACUGGAUGUGAACAACCACCCACAUACUCCUGCGAACGCACAGAAGACCUAAGAUUCCUCUUCAAGGAGAAAACAAAGACUUCAGACUUAGAGCUGUAUGCUUACCCAUGAUGAAAAUGCCUGGUAUCUAUUGAGGGCCUCUAGACAGGAUCUCUGCAGAAGUAUCUCUGACUGCUGGUCACCACUACAACCCUCUUCAGCCUGAAGAAGCCAGAUCGGUCAUCACCCAUGACGCCCUCAUGGCAGUUCUUGUUACUUCUUCAGAGAGGGGACUGUUAUAAGCAGCUGAGUUAGUUAGAAAUACUACAGGAAGUGAGACAGGGCUAGGUCCUCAAAGGAGCCAGUGCAGAAGCUCAGAUACCUUGCAACUAAGGGGAAGACAAGCACCUGCUGCUGUGGGCCAAGCCUCAAGAUAAAAGACCAUACAAAUACAUCCAUAUCCUAAGGAGUGAAGUUCUAAAUAGUUCCCCAGCACGCUGAGGAAGUAAGGAGUGACAUUCCAAACCUUUAGGGAAGAUUCACUGCUCUCUAAGAAUUCCUGCAUUCUAAGUGAUUCCCUUCCCGUUUUGUCCCCAGUUUAAUCAAUUUUACCUGAACUAUUAAUCUUAUUGGUUAGCCUUAGUUUUGUACCACCUUAUGCCCAUCUGCCUUGUGAGUACCCAGUUUCCCCAUGUUAAACCCUUUGUAUGCCAUGAUUUCCUCGAACCAUCUGGAAAAUAUAGAGUCCCUGGCAACCCGCUUUUGUCUCUCUCUCAGACAGAAGCUUGUUUUCUCUCAAUAAAUGUAUUCUACUCUUAACCUCUGUGGUUCCUAAAAUGCAUUCUUUGAUUUUAGAGGACAUGAACUCACACUGGACAUAGUGG